AUUGAACGCUGGCGGCAGGCCUAACACAUGCAAGUCGAACGAGUGGCGGACGGGUGAGUAAUGUCUGGGAAACGGCCUGAAGGUGGGGGAUAAAUACGGGUAACGGUAGCUAAUACCGCAUACCAUCAGUUGCGCCCAGCGUGGAUUAGCUAGGUGGUGGGGUAACGGCUCACCAAGGCGACGAUCCCUAGCCGGUCUGAGAGGAUGACCAGCCACACUGGGACUGAGACACGGUCCAGACUCCUACGGGAGGCAGCAGUGGGGAAUAUUGGACAAUGGGCGCAAGCCUGAUGCAGCCAUGCCGCGUGAAUGAAGAAGGCCUUCGGGUUGUAAAGUACUUUCAGCGGGGAGGCGUUACCCGCAGAGGAAGCACCGGCUAACUCCGUGCCAGCAGCCGCGGUAAUUC
rnacentral:rRNA from 1 species